rnacentral:rRNA from 1 species
UACGUAGGGUGCGAGCGUUGUCCGGAAUUAUUGGGCGUAAAGGGCUCGUAGGCGGUCUGUCACGUCGGGAGUGAAAACUCAGGGCUUAACCCUGAGCCUGCUUCCGAUACGGGCAGACUAGAGGUAUGCAGGGGAGAACGGAAUUCCUGGUGUAGCGGUGAAAUGCGCAGAUAUCAGGAGGAACACCGGUGGCGAAGGCGGUUCUCUGGGCCUUACCUGACGCUGAGGAGCGAAAGCGUGGGGAGCGAACAGG